UACGUAGGUCCCGAGCGUUGUCCGGAUUUAUUGGGCGUAAAGCGAGCGCAGGUGGUUUAUUAAGUCUGGUGUAAAAGGCAGUGGCUCAACCAUUGUAUGCAUUGGAAACUGGUAGACUUGAGUGCAGGAGAGGAGAGUGGGAUUCCAUGUGUAGCGGUGAAAUGCGUAGAUAUAUGGAGGAACACCGGUGGCGAAAGCGGCUCUCUGGCCUGUAACUGACACUGAGGCUCGAAAGCGUGGGGAGCAAGCAGG
rnacentral:rRNA from 1 species